CUUAUUUGAGAACUGUUUUUUGUGUUGUUCUUAUGCGACGUGGCAUUGUCUCAUUGAAAACAAUUUUUGCAACGGAGAAAACUUUUCAUUCCUCAUUUUGUUCGAUAUCGUGACAAACUCCUUGUGAAUUUGGAAGAAAUUUGUUCCAAAAUUCAGUUGCAAAUGGAGGAGAAUGAUUUAACUUUUGGUGACCUCCGACUGUUCGAACCGUUACUCACCACCUCCACCGACGGCUGAUCUCAACGGCGACUCUGGUUCAGGUAAUUGUGACUCGUCUCCUUCCGAUGGCGAAUUGAUUUUUUUUCUGGGUUAUCGUUGAAUGAGGAGGUUUACGCUACGGUUUCUGGGUUAUCGUUGAAUUGAUCCACCGACGGCGGAUCUCAACGUUCGUUGUCUCCGGAGGAUGCGGCUAAGGAAGAAGAGGUUUACGCUACGGUUGUUAAGUUGGAGGAAGUUCACGAGGGAUACGAGAAGCUCUUGAGGGAUUUGGAGGAGGAGCUUUGUAGGGUUUAUGGUUUGGCUGUUGAUGAGUCGUUGAACGGUGGGGAUGAAGUGAAUGAGGAGGUUUUAGCUGUGAUUAAGGGAGCUGAAGAUGGUGGAGUCGUUGAAAGGAUUGAUCUUUCUAAUCGUCAGCUUAAGCUUAUUCCUGAUGCUUUAGGGAAGAUCGUUGGUUUGGUUUCCUUGGAUCUCUCUCGCAAUAAUCUCAAGCUCAUUGAUGAAGAUAUGCCUGAAGUGCCUAAGACAGAGCUCGUUCCUGAAGAACCUGAUAAAUUGGAUCUCCCUGAUGUGCCAACAAAAGCAUCGAUCGCUUCCAAUGCAGAAAACACUCCAACAAAGAGAAAAGUUCUUGAAGAACCUUUGGAAGUUUGAUUUAGAAGUGAAGAAUCUGAUCGACUACUACAUAGCCAUGGGUUUAUAUAAAUCAUUCUUUGGAAACUUUUGCUUCUGGGCUAAUGAAAGCUCCUUUGUGUAUUCUCUUCUUACUUCUGCAGCUUGUAAAGUAUUGGUUGAACUCUGAAAUGUUUUGGUUGUUUAUGAACUCAUCUCAGAGUCUUUGACCUGAACAUAUGAAAGUUUGAAUGACGUUAACACUUAGUGGGAUCAUAGAAUUUUGUUU